rnacentral:rRNA from 1 species
UACGUAGGGUGCGAGCGUUAAUCGGAAUUACUGGGCGUAAAGCGUGCGCAGGCGGUGAUGUAAGACAGUUGUGAAAUCCCCGGGCUCAACCUGGGAACUGCAUCUGUGACUGCAUCGCUGGAGUGCGGCAGAGGGGGAUGGAAUUCCGCGUGUAGCAGUGAAAUGCGUAGAUAUCUGGAGGAACACCGGUGGCGAAGGCGGCAUCCUGGACCAAUUCUGACGCUGAGGAGCGAAAGCCAGGGGAGCAAACGGG